rnacentral:rRNA from 1 species
CGGAAAGAAAGGUGUGAAAUCCCAGGGCUCAACCUGGGAAUGGCGAUGGAUACUGGGCAGCUAGAGUGUGUCAGAGGAUGGUGGAAUUCCCGGUGUAGCGGUGAAAUGCGUAGAGAUCGGGAGGAACAUCAGUGGCGAAGGCGGCCAUCUGGGACAACACUGACGCUGAGGCACGAAAGCGUGGGGAGCAAACAG